GAACAAGUAAACAAGAGGAAUUGAUGUGACAAGAAUUUAGUAAGUAAAAGGCAGGCUUCAGCUGAAGAUAGGGUUUCUCUAUGUAACCCUGGCUACCCUGGAACUAGCCCUGUAGGCAAGGCUGGCCUUGAACUCAGAGAUCCACCCACAUCUACCUCCCACAUGCUGGGAUUAAAGGCUUACAGGCUUCUUCCAUGUCCAAUAGCAAUGAGUGUGUCUCUGUCCCCUGAGGAAGCCAUGGCUAAUUUGCUUAGGCCUGGACAGCAUGCUUUUUGAGAACCAGCUGUGGGAAGAGAAUGGAUUGUGAUGCCUGGAGCCCACCCAGGAGCUAGGAAUGAGGUGUGACCUGCUCUGGUAUCAUGCACUGAAGAGACAGCCCUCAGAACAUUCACUGGAGCCCAGGACACCACUAAGCGGGAGAAGAAAUGGCAGCCUCUGAUCUGCACCCAUGUUUCCUUUAUUAUCCCUAGUCAAAAGGAAAGGGGCACACCCCAGCACCAUUUUCUCCCAUCGUUCAGCUUUGGGAAAAUGGUCCACUUUACCUCUACUUUCCCUCAGUUAACAGGAUCUUAAACUGAGGCUCAGUAGCAAGUGUUUGGCUAACUCGUACAAGGCCCUGGGUUCCAGUCCCAGAACUCUAAAUAAAUAAAUAAGCAUAUAAAUAAAUUCAGUAACAGUAGUGGAGGUAAGGAAUCAAAUAUUUCCAAAAUAACAAGAUAAUUGUUGUUAAUAGUCUUUCAGUACAUUUACUCCUGGCUAGGUAUGGAUCUACAGCCACAAAAUGUAAGAAGCCAUUGGGAAUUUCAAACUACUGAUGACCUAGCAAAUGAACUUCACUCUGAAAAUACCAGUGUUGAUGAUAAUAAUUCACAUAUUCUAAAGCAGUGGCUCUCACCCUCCCUGAGGCUGUAACCCUUUAAUACAAUUCCUCAUGUUUCAUAAACCAUAAAAUUAUUUUCAUUGCUACCUCCUAACUAUAAUUUUGCAACUGUUAUGUUAUAAAUCAUAAUGUAAAUAUCUGUGUUUUCUAAUGGUCUUUUGGGGGGUCACAACCCACAGGUUGAAAAUGGCUAUUCUCAAGGGUCCUGGAACUUGGCAAUGAAAGACGCAUCGGUAUAGAUGGCUCCAUCUCAUCCAAGCUAUAAAAUUAGCAGGAGACAGCUGUAUGACCUUGGAAAAUGGAUGGAACUAGAAGAAACCAUUCUGAGCAAGCUCGCAUCCAGCAGCUGGUGGAAGUAGAAGCAGACACCCACAACAACACUGAACUGAACUGGAAUCCAGUUGCAGAGAAGGACAAGUGAAGAACAAAGGGGUCCAGAUCAGGCUGGUGAAACCCACAGAAACAGCUGACCUGAACAUAGGGGAGCUCUUGGUCCCCAGACUGAUAGCUGGGAUACCAGCAUGGGACUGAUCCAGACCCCAGCAACAUGGGUUUCAGUGAGGAAACCUCCGAAAUCUACG
rnacentral:lncRNA from 1 species